AGUGAACGCUGGCGGUAGGCCUAACACAUGCAAGUCGAACGGCAGCACAGUAAGAGCUUGCUCUUACGGGUGGCGAGUGGCGGACGGGUGAGGAAUACAUCGGAAUCUACUUUUUCGUGGGGGAUAACGUAGGGAAACUUACGCUAAUACCGCAUACGACCUACGGGUGAAAGCAGGGGAUCUUCGGACCUUGCGCGAUUGAAUGAGCCGAUGUCGGAUUAGCUAGUUGGCGGGGUAAAGGCCCACCAAGGCGACGAUCCGUAGCUGGUCUGAGAGGAUGAUCAGCCACACUGGAACUGAGACACGGUCCAGACUCCGACGGGAGGCAGCAGUGGGGAAUAUUGGACAAUGGGCGAAAGCCUGAUCCAGCCAUACCGCGUGGGUGAAGAAGGCCUUCGGGUUGUAAAGCCCUUUUGUUGGGAAAGAAAAGCAGCAGGUUAAGACCCCGCUGUUCGGACGGGACCCAAAGAAUAAGCACCGGCUAACUGCGG
rnacentral:rRNA from 1 species